rnacentral:rRNA from 1 species
UACGUAGGGUGCGAGCGUUGUCCGGAAUUAUUGGGCGUAAAGGGUGCGUAGGCGGCGCGGUAAGUCGGGUGUGAAAUCUCGGGGCUUAACUCCGAAACUGCAUUCGAUACUGCCGUGCUUGAGGACUGGAGAGGAGACUGGAAUUUACGGUGUAGCGGUGAAAUGCGUAGAUAUCGUAAGGAAGACCAGUGGCGAAGGCGGGUCUCUGGACAGUUCCUGACGCUAAGGCACGAAGGCCAGGGGAGCAAACGGG